rnacentral:rRNA from 1 species
GACGAACGCUGGCGGCGCGCUUUAUGCAUGCAAGUCGAACGGACCUUCGGGUCAGUGGCGGACGGCUGAGUAACGCGUAGGCAAUCUGCCCAGUGGUGGGGGAUAACUCGCCGAAAGGUGAGCUAAUACCGCAUAAGUUCGGUGGUUGAAAUACCACCGAGGAAAGCAGCAAUGCACCACUGGAGGAGCCUGCGUCCUAUCAGGUAGUUGGUGGGGUAACGCCUACCAAGCCGAUGACGGGUAGCCGGUCUGAGAGGACGACCAGCCAGAAGGGGACUGAGACACGGCCCCUACUCCUACGGGAGGCAGCAGCAAGGAAUCUUGGGCAAUGGACGAAAGUCUGACCCAGCGACGCCGCGUGAGGGAUGAAGGCC